rnacentral:rRNA from 1 species
ACCAGGAGUGGAGCCUGCGGCUUAAUUUGACUCAACACGGGAAAACUUACCCGGCCCGGACACUGGGAGGAUUGACAGAUUGAGAGCUCUUUCUUGAUUCGGUGGAUGGUGGUGCAUGGCCGUUCUUAGUUGGUGGAGCGAUUUGUCUGGUUAAUUCCGAUAACGAACGAGACUCUAGCCUAUUAAAUAGGUGCGGGGUUCCCAGCACCUUACAACCUUCUUAGAGGGACAAGCGGCUCCUAGCCGCACGAAACAGAGCAAUAACAGGUCUGUGAUGCCCUUAGAUGUCCGGGGCCGCACGCGCGCUACACUGAAGGAAGCAGCGUGUCUUUAUCCCUGUCUGAAAAGACUGGGUAACCCGUGGAACUUCUUUCGUGAUUGGGAUAGGGGCUUGCAAUUGUUCCUUACGCGGAGCUUUCGGGCUCGGCAACUCGAGAGAAAGUCC